CCAUGGGGUUCUGGGAUGAACUCAGCCGGGCAAACAUGCACAGCAAGAGCCUUUCCCUUGGGAAGCACACAUGUGAGUUUGUAAAUGAUCUCACAUGGGGGGCCACUGUCAAAUGCAGGCAGACUCAAAUUACUGAACACAUUCAUUCUACAGGAUAUGAGUGUAACGUGCACACCAAACAGAAAUGACUUUCAUGCUCACACUCGGAUCCCAGGACAUCUGGUCUAUACAAACACUCCAGUACAUGAAAAAGCUUAAAACCAGGAACACUUGUGGUAUCAAACACUUCGGGUAAUGGUUAUUACACCUGUGUUUAAUAUCUGGAAACAUUUUCUUUUCCUUUUUUUAAAUUUUAUUUUAGGUUUUCCAAGACAGGGCUUCAAUAGUCCAGGCUGGCCUUAUACCUGCAUCUGCCUCUCCCCUAAAAUUUAAUAAAACUAUCAAUCAAGUUACAAAAACACACUGGUCUGGCCAGGUGGUGGCAGUGGUGCAUGCCUUUAGUCUAAGCACUCACGAGGCAGAGGCAGGAGGAUCUCCAUAAAUUCUAGGCCAGCCUUGACUAUAUAGUGAGUUCCACAACAGCCAGGACCACCCGAAGAAACAGUCUUGGAAAACCAAGAAACAAACAAACAAACAAACAAAAACAUUGAUCUAAGGGUUAUGAUAAUGAAGUGAGAGGUCAAAUUCUCACUUAAAAUUUUGUACUGGUCUGGGUACACCCUACAAUCUCAGCACUUAGGAGGCUGAGGCAGCAGUGUCUUGAGCCUGAAGCUGGAGUGAUCCACACAGCAAAGCAGGGAAAGAGACAGUACAAAGACAUCUGCGAGGUCCACUGGCACAGGCCAGUAACUCCAGAUACCUGGAAGGCUGAAGCAGGAAGACUGCAAGUUCAAGAACAGGCUGAGAUAUGAAAUGC
rnacentral:lncRNA from 1 species